rnacentral:lncRNA from 1 species
UUUUUUUUAAAUGAAUAAACAAAUAAAUAAAUAAACAAGAUAGAUUAGGGACUAAAAUGCAACUUAGCCGAACUUUUUGAGGUGAAUUUAAAAUAAAAGGAAAUCAAAGCAGAUUUAAGGAAUAAAAUAGCAAACGCACAAAGAUAUAGGGACCAAAUUAAGAUAUGAAUGAAGUUAGGGGUACAAUUUAUAAUAAAAAAUGUAAAUGACGACGAUAAUGAAUGAUAAUAAUAAUAAUAAUAAUAAUAAUAAUAAUAAUAACAUAAAUUUUAUAUAUAUAUAAAAGGUAGAGAAACAAAUAAAGCAAAAAGAGUUUAGUUAAAAAAAAUGAAAGCAAAAUAAAAUAAAUGAAAUACUGCUACUACAAAUAAUAAUGAGACAAUAAUAAUAAAAGAACAACGACAUACUAAUACUAAUAAUAAUAAAAAAAUUAAAAUAAAUAUGUACAACGAUAAAACAAAAGAAAAUAUAUACAAAAAAAACAAUUAUAAUAAAGAAAACGAAAUAUUAAAAAAAUUAAAUAAAUAAAACAAAUAGCUAAAUAAAUGAAUAACGAAGUAACAAAAUAACAAAUGAACUAUUUGUCUAAAAAGGUUAAAUAAAACUAGGAUUGAAUUGAAAUCCGAAUAAAAUUUUGGGGUAUAAUUUAAAUAAAUAAAAUUCAAUGAAACACGAAUUAGGACUUAAAUGAACGCGCGAAUAAUAUGGGAGGACCCAAUAGGAAAUUAACCCGUGCCCCCAAAAUGCACAGUCUAAUUGGGGACCAAAAUAAAACAAUAAAGAAACUUCAGGGGCAAAUUCAGAAAAUAAAAAGACUAAGUUAAGAACCACAUUAAGAACCACCUCAAAAGCGGAAGGACUGAGGGCGCAAAUAGACUCUCAGUCCAAAAACACGCGAAUCCUAGGCGGAUAUGGGUCGGGUCUGACUGGCAUUAGUAAAACGGCUCCGUUUUGGCCCUUAAAUGGCCUAGGUGAAACGACGCUGUUUCACACAUACUAUAUAAGCCCAAAAUUUUUCUCAAACUUCAUUUUAACCCUCCUUCCAAAAAAUAAAAAAUAGAAAAUUUACUCUCAACUCCCUCUUCCCUUUUGAAUCUGGCCUAGCUCCGGUCAGUACCCCGGCGCCGGACCGGUCAUCGUCCUCCGCGCCGGCCACCGUACACGGUGGCUGGAAAUCUCCAAAAAGGUAAAAAAAUUAUAUUUUUUUGCUAUAUUUAUAUCUAAAUAUAUAUACUAUUUUUGAGAAAAAAAGCAUUUAUAAAUGUAUUCGAAAAGAAAAAAAUGAAAAUGAAAAUAAAAAGGAAAGAAAAAAAAUGAAUAACAGUAACCUUUGGUUUUUUAAAUCUAUUUUAAACUUCUCUUUUUUUUUAUUGUAUUCUCCAAAAAGAACCCCCCUUUUAAAGAACCCCCCUUUUACAUGGUUUUGUUUUCGGCUUUAUAGCCGAUUACAAAAUAUAUUAUUGCUAUUUUGUUUUCUGUUUGCUACUAUUACUGUUGUCUCUGGUUUUGUUUUACUUGUUCCUUUGGUUUUGCAGGUGCUGUCAGAGGUGUGGAGGAGGCCGGUGGCAGCAUUGCAGCGGAGAAGGUGCCGACACCACGUGGGGGAGCGGCGCACUAGGGGUUAGGGUUUCAGCUUUGCUGAAACUAGUUUAGGUAGUGGGCCUAUCGGGCCCCUAGGUUUUUUAAUAGUUUUGAGGUAGUUGGGCUAAGUCUGUUGGGUUUGAAAUUGGGCUUUGGGUUUUAAAUGGACAUUUUAAUUUUAGUUUGUUUUUUUUUGUUUGAUUUGGGUUUAUUGGGCUGUUCUUGUAAUUGGAUUUCAGUUUAUAUUUCUCUUUUAUUUUUAUUUUUUGGUUUGGGCUGAGUAAUAAUUCUGGGCCCGGGUAAAUUUAGGUACCUACAAUGAUGUAUCGUUUAAUAUCUAAUAAACUUUUCUAUUACAAUGGAUAAGAUGACCAAAAAUAAAUUAAUAGUCAACUGAUAGUGCAAGAGGAAGAGGGAGGAGUUUUCAUAAUUCAUAAGGUGUUUUAUUUUUUUUUUCUUUUGAUCAAUUAUACUAAUAGAGUUAAGUCUUAACAGUAACAUCUAGGCGACACUUAGGAUAAUAAAC